UACGUAGGGGGCUAGCGUUGUCCGGAAUCAUUGGGCGUAAAGCGCGCGUAGGCGGCCCGGUAAGUCCGCUGUAAAAGUCAAAGGCUCAACCUUUGAAUGUCAGUGGAUACUGCCGGGCUAGAGUCCGGAAGAGGCGAGUGGAACUCCUGGUGUAGCGGUGAAAUGCGUAGAUAUUGGGAGGAACACCAGUGGCGAAGGCGGCUCACUGGACCGGAACUGACGCUGAGGCGCGAAAGCGUGGGGAGCAAACAGG
rnacentral:rRNA from 1 species